rnacentral:rRNA from 1 species
GACGGAGGGUGCUAGCGUUGUUCGGAAUUACUGGGCGUAAAGGGCGCGUAGGCGGCCUUCUCAGUCGGGUGUGAAAGCCCGGGGCUCAACCCCGGAACGGCACCCGAGACGGGUUGGCUGGAGACCGGGAGAGGAGGGUGGAAUAGCCAGUGUAGAGGUGAAAUUCGUAGAUAUUGGCUGGAACACCGGUGGCGAAAGCGGCUCUCUGGCCCGGUUCUGACGCUGAGGCGCGAAAGCUAGGGGAGCAAACGGG